rnacentral:rRNA from 1 species
GGGUCAGUAGGUUGGUCGUGCCACCGGUACGUACUGGUCUCACUGAUUCCUCCUUCCUGAAGAACCGUGAUGCCAUUAAUUUGGUGUUGCGGGGAAACAGGACUGGUACUUUGAAAAAAUUAGAGUGUUUAAAGCAAGCUAACGCUUGAAUAAAUUAGCAUGGAAUAAUGAAAUAGGACGAUCGAUCCUAUUUUGUUGGUUUCUAGGAUUGACGUA